GAUGAACGCUAGCUACAGGCUUAACACAUGCAAGUCGAGGGGAAACGAUAUUGGAAGCUUGCUUCCGAUAGGCGUCGACCGGCGCACGGGUGAGUAACGCGUAUCCAACCUGCCCAUCACUUGGGGAUAACCUUGCGAAAGUAAGACUAAUACCCAAUGACGUCUCUAGAAGACAUCUGAAAGAGAUUAAAGAUUUAUCGGUGAUGGAUGGGGAUGCGUCUGAUUAGCUUGUUGGCGGAGUAACGGCCCACCAAGGCGAAGAUCAGUAGGGGUUCUGAGAGGAAGGUGCGCGACAGUGGAACUGAGAGACGGUCCAAACUCCUACGGGAGGCAGCAGUGAGGAAUAUUGGUCAAUGGGCGAGAGCCUGAACCAGCCAAGUAGCGUGCAGGAAGACGGCCCUAUGGGUUGUAAACUGCUUUUAUAAGGGAAUAAAGUGGGAGUCGUGACUCCUUUUGCAUGUACCUUAUGAAUAAGGACCGGCUAAUUCCGUGCCAGCCGCCGCGGUAA
rnacentral:rRNA from 1 species